rnacentral:rRNA from 1 species
AACGCGAAGAACCUUACCAAGGCUUGACAUCUGAAGAAUCUUUCGGAAACGAGAGAGUGCUCGCAAGAGAACUUCAAGACAGGUGGUGCAUGGCUGUCGUCAGCUCGUGUCGUGAGAUGUUGGGUUAAGUCCCGCAACGAGCGCAACCCCCGUUGUUAGUUGCCAUCAGGUAAAGCUGGGCACUCUAGCGAGACUGCCGGUGACAAACCGGAGGAAGGUGGGGACGAGGUCAAGUCAUCAUGCCCCUUACGCCUUGGGCUACACACGUGUUACAAUGGCUAGGAUAAUGCGAUGCAAUCCCGCAAGGGUGAGCGAACCGCCAAAACCUAGUCUCAGUUCGGAUCGCAGGCUGCAACUCGCCUGCGUGAAGUCGGAAUCGCUAGUAACCGCCAAUCAGCUCGUGGCGGUGAAUACGUUCCCGGGCCUUGUACACACCGCUAGUC